rnacentral:snRNA from 1 species
GCUUGCUUCAGCAGCGCAGAUACUAAAAUUGGACUGAUACAGAGAAGAUUAGCAUGGCCCCUGCAAAGGAUGACAUACAAAUUCUUGAAGCAUGAAGCAUAAAA